rnacentral:rRNA from 1 species
GCGAGUGAAGCGGGAAAAGCUCAAAUUUAAAAUCUGGCGGCUUUGGUCGUCCGAGUUGUAUUCUAGAGAAGCGUUUUCCGCGCUGGACCGUGUACAAGUCUCUUGGAACAGAGCGUCAUAGAGGGUGAGAAUCCCGUCUUUGACACGGACUACCAGUGCUUUGUGAUGCGCUCUCAAAGAGUCGAGUUGUUUGGGAAUGCAGCUCAAAAUGGGUGGUAAAUUCCAUCUAAAGCUAAAUAUUGGCGAGAGACCGAUAGCGAACAAGUACCGUGAGGGAAAGAUGAAAAGCACUUUGGAAAGAGAGUUAAACAGUACGUGAAAUUGCUGAAAGGGAAACGCUUGAAGUCAGUCGCGUUGGUUAGAACUCAACCAGGCUUGCUUGGUGCAUUUUCUAUUCAACGGGCCAGCAUCAGUUUUGACUGUAGGAAAAAGAUCAGAGAAAUGUGGCACCUUCGGGUGUGUUAUAGUCUUUGGUUGCAUACUAUGGUUGGGACUGAGGAUCUCAGCACGCAUCUGUUGUGCUUAGGAUGCUGGCGUAAUGGCUUUAAACGACCCGUCUUGAAACACGGACCAAGGAGUCUAACAAACCUGCGAGUGUUUGGGUGGUAAACCCGAGCGCGUAAUGAAAGUGAAAGUUGGGAUCUCUGUCGCGGAGAGCACCGACGCCCGGACCAGACCUUCUGUGACGGAUCUGCGGUAGAGCAUGUUUGUUGGGACCCGAAAGAUGGUGAACUAUGCCUGAAUAGGGUGAAGCCAGAGGAAACUCUGGUGGAGCUCGUAGCGAUUCUGACGUGCAAAUCGAUCGUCAAAUUUGGGUAUA